rnacentral:rRNA from 1 species
GCGUUGUCCGGAUUUAUUGGGCGUAAAGAGCGUGUAGGCGGCCAGAUAGGUCCGUUGUGAAAACUGGAGGCUCAACCUUCAGACGUCGACGGAAACCAUCUGGCUAGAGUCCGGAAGAGGAGAGUGGAAUUCCUGGUGUAGCGGUGGAAUGCGCAGAUAUCAGGAGGAACACCCGUGGCGAAAGCGGCUCUCUGGGACGGUACUGACGCUGAGACGCGAAAGCGUG